GCCCGGAUGGCGGAAUUGGUAGACGCGCUGGACUCAAAAUCCAGUGAUAGCAAUAUCGUGCGGGUUCGAUUCCCGCUCCGGGUA
rnacentral:tRNA from 1 species